CGGCGGGUGCUAACGUCCGUCGUGAAGAGGGAAACAACCCAGACCGCCAGCUAAGGUCCCAAAGUCAUGGUUAAGUGGGAAACGAUGUGGGAAGGCCCAGACAGCCAGGAUGUUGGCUUAGAAGCAGCCAUCAUUUAAAGAAAGCGUAAUAGCUCACUGGUCGAGUCGGCCUGCGCGGAAGAUGUAACGGGGCUAAACCAUGCACCGAAGCUGCGGCAGCGACACUGUGUGUUGUUGGGUAGGGGAGCGUUCUGUAAGCCUGUGAAGGUGUGCUGUGAGGCAUGCUGGAGGUAUCAGAAGUGCGAAUGCUGACAUAAGUAACGAUAAAGCGGGUGAAAAGCCCGCUCGCCGGAAGACCAAGGGUUCCUGUCCAACGUUAAUCGGGGCAGGGUGAGUCGACCCCUAAGGCGAGGCCGAAAGGCGUAGUCGAUGGGAAACAGGUUAAUAUUCCUGUACUUGGUGUUACUGCGAAGGGGGGACGGAGAAGGCUAUGUUGGCCGGGCGACGGUUGUCCCGGUUUAAGCGUGUAGGCUGGUUUUCCAGGCAAAUCCGGAAAAUCAAGGCUGAGGCGUGAUGACGAGGCACUACGGUGCUGAAGCAACAAAUGCCCUGCUUCCAGGAAAAGCCUCUAAGCAUCAGGUAACAUCAAAUCGUACCCCAAACCGACACAGGUGGUCAGGUAGAGAAUACCAAGGCGCUUGAGAGAACUCGGGUGAAGGAACUAGGCAAAAUGGUGCCGUAACUUCGGGAGAAGGCACGCUGAUAUGUAGGUGAAGUCCCUCGCGGAUGGAGCUGAAAUCAGUCGAAGAUACCAGCUGGCUGCAACUGUUUAUUAAAAACACAGCACUGUGCAAACACGAAAGUGGACGUAUACGGUGUGACGCCUGCCCGGUGCCGGAAGGUUAAUUGAUGGGGUCAGCGCAAGCGAAGCUCUUGAUCGAAGCCCCGGUAAACGGCGGCCGUAACUAUAACGGUCCUAAGGUAGCGAAAUUCCUUGUCGGGUAAGUUCCGACCUGCACGAAUGGCGUAAUGAUGGCCAGGCUGUCUCCACCCGAGACUCAGUGAAAUUGAACUCGCUGUGAAGAUGCAGUGUACCCGCGGCAAGACGGAAAGACCCCGUGAACCUUUACUAUAGCUUGACACUGAACAUUGAGCCUUGAUGUGUAGGAUAGGUGGGAGGCUUUGAAGUGUGGACGCCAGUCUGCAUGGAGCCGACCUUGAAAUACCACCCUUUAAUGUUUGAUGUUCUAACGUGGACCCGUGAUCCGGGUUGCGGACAGUGUCUGGUGGGUAGUUUGACUGGGGCGGUCUCCUCCUAAAGAGUAACGGAGGAGCACGAAGGUUGGCUAAUCCUGGUCGGACAUCAGGAGGUUAGUGCAAUGGCAUAAGCCAGCUUGACUGCGAGCGUGACGGCGCGAGCAGGUGCGAAAGCAGGUCAUAGUGAUCCGGUGGUUCUGAAUGGAAGGGCCAUCGCUCAACGGAUAAAAGGUACUCCGGGGAUAACAGGCUGAUACCGCCCAAGAGUUCAUAUCGACGGCGGUGUUUGGCACCUCGAUGUCGGCUCAUCACAUCCUGGGGCUGAAGUAGGUCCCAAGGGUAUGGCUGUUCGCCAUUUAAAGUGGUACGCGAGCUGGGUUUAGAACGUCGUGAGACAGUUCGGUCCCUAUCUGCCGUGGGCGCUGGAGAACUGAGGGGGGCUGCUCCUAGUACGAGAGGACCGGAGUGGACGCAUCACUGGUGUUCGGGUUGUCAUGCCAAUGGCACUGCCCGGUAGCUAAAUGCGGAAGAGAUAAGUGCUGAAAGCAUCUAAGCACGAAACUUGCCCCGAGAUGAGUUCUCCCUGACCCUUUAAGGGUCCUGAAGGAACGUUGAAGACGACGACGUUGAUAGGCCGGGUGUGUAAGCGCAGCGAUGCGUUGAGCUAACCGGUACUAAUGAACCGUGAGGCUUAACCUUACAACGCCGAAGGUGUUU
rnacentral:rRNA from 1 species